rnacentral:misc_RNA from 1 species
AACGCACAUUGCACUUCCUGGCUUGCUAGGAAGUAUGUCUGUUUGAGUAUCAUUUUAACCUCAAAGCCCAGUGUUUGCAAAAGCACAGGCUUUGGACUUGAGUCAACAUACUAGUACGUGACUUUAAAUUCAAAGUGUCAUCCACAAUACGGUGAUAGUGACAUGUCUCUUUUCUAAGAACAGUCGUUCUCGAGAGGAUUCAUUCAUGACAUCUGUAGCGUGGAGUAAUGAAACUUUAACUCGCGAACUCCAUUUGGGAUGUUCAACUUAAAAUCUUGAUCUCAAAUCAAACAAGACUACCCGCUGAACUUAA